rnacentral:rRNA from 1 species
CGCCAGACUCCUACGGGAGGCAGCAAUGGGGAAUAUUGCACAAUGGGGGAAACCCUGAUGCAGCGACGCCGCGCGAGUGAAGAAGUAUUUCGGUAUGUAAAGCUCUAUCAGCAGGGAAGAAAUAGCGACCUUUGGGUCGCCAGACGGUACCUGAUUAAGAAGCCCCGGCUAACUACGUGCCAGCAGCCGCGGUAAUACGUAGGGGGCAAGCGUUAUCCGGAUUUACUGGGUGUAAAGGGAGCGUAGACGGCAAGGCAAGCCAGAAGUGAAAGGGCAGGGCUCAACCCUGUACAUGCUUUUGGAACUGUGGUGCUAGAGUGCAGGAGAGGUAAGUGGAAUUCCUAGUGUAGCGGUGAAAUGCGUAGAUAUUAGGAGGAACACCAGUGGCGAAGGCGGCUUACUGGACUGUAACUGACGUUGAGGCUCGAAAGCGUGGGGAGCAAACAGGAUUAGAUACCCGGGUA